AUGGGCAGCUUUCGCCGUCACUCCUCGUCCGUCGCUGUCCGGAACGGAGCAGAGGAGAGCUGGUUUGAGGGGACGGCAACCACGGCGGAGCCGCGAGUGAGUGGUUCAGAUCCCAUCCCUGUCACGCUGCUGGUUCUGCUGCUCCUGCUCCUGGCUUUGGGGGCGGCCUUGGCUGUGCAGUCAGGAAGCUGUGGUAAAACUCCAGUUACCCCAGUUGCACCUGUGGCUCCGGUGCUGCUGGCCUGUCCCAAGGGCUGGGUCGGGUACCGCGGGGUCUGCGACUUCCUCUCGAGGGAUCAGGGGACCUGGGGUCAGGGUCAGGCUCGGUGCUCCGAGCUCGGGGCCUCCCUGGCCGUGCUCAAGGAUGAGGAAAUGGUGAGUGAGGGGCCGUGGGGGCUGUGGGGUGGCAGAGGGGAGCCUGGGGGGCUCCUGGGCCGGGCUCGGUGCUCGUGGGGCCGGGGGUGCAGCCCUGCCCCGGGGCCUCGCAGGGAAGGAGCCCCGGGGUGCGGGGCAGCCCUGGGCGCGCGUCCCCCCGAGGGGCCGGGGCAGCUCCCACUGCCGCUCCUCUCUCCUUCCCAGGAGUUCCCCUUCCCCUCUGUGGGAGCGCACAUCCCUGCCUCGGGCUGCGCAGACGGGGCCAGGGGCUGCCCCGGGGGGACGGCAGCAGCUUCAACUCCUCGUGAGUGCCGGGGAGCCGGGCAGGGCCUGGGGGGCACGGGGGCACAACGUGUCCCCCUGUGCUGCCAGCGCUGCCUCUGCUCCUCCUUGCAGGGUCGAGGUCCUGGGCGAUGCAGAGUGUGCGUUCCUUGGAGAGGGUGA
ensembl:lncRNA